rnacentral:lncRNA from 1 species
AGACACACAUGGGGAACAAGGGGACACGGAAAAACUUUUUGAACACUUCAAGACCUUGGCCGAUACAGCCCCUCAUUUUUUUUCUUGAGAUUCUUUUGUUAAAAUAAAACACACUACAAAAGAUAAAACACCAUCAGAUUUGAGGGGAGUUCAUUUUUCUUGUAGAUUUUUACACAUGGAGAUACAUUGAGAUUUCAUCUUCUCCAACCUUACAAGGCAAACAAAAAACCCUAGGUGUUAUCUCCUUCUUGGGGAAAAAAAAAGAACCAAACCCUAAACCAGCCGGCCCCCUCCGUUGCAACCACCAGUCUAGGCCCGUCAUUGUUCAGCUCCUCCGCUGCCAGCACAGCCCGUCGUACACCACCCAAAAAAGCACCAGCUCCAUUAUCAGACCAGUCCCCAUCUCCCUCCGUCAUCGCGACCCACUAAACGACUAGUCUAGCCUCGUCCAAACGACCUCACUGCCGGACAACACCCAUCGAGAGCAGCUGCUGCUCGCAGCUCGCCGGAUUAACAAGCUCCAGCUGGGCAGCAACAACCAGAACGCAGCCUCCUCUCCUGUUUAUCAGCCGGGCUUCCGUCGCCUGAGAGGUCCCAGUGCUGUCGUUUUUCCGUUCGAGUUCGUCGAGUUCCGUCCAGGUUUGAUUUGAGAUCGUUGUACUUUGUUUCCGGUUCGAGGUUCAGGUCCUUAGCUCGCUUGUUGGUUCAUUGUAUCGGAAGCUUCUGUCACAGUAUACGUUAAGGAAAACGCAGCAAUAAAGGCUCGUUUUCUUUUCCAAUAUCGUUCUUCUCGCUACUGUUUUGGGUCAUUUUCGUAUUCGAUUUAGUUUUGUAUGGCUGGACGUUUAAUUGAUUAAUAUGAUUGGUGUCCUUUAUUAGCUCAAAGCCUCUGUUAAUUUUGCCAGUUUUAAAAUUCGUCUGUAGUUUUGCUAUAUAAGAUACGGACGAACGAUGUCACUUUUUCUUUAAAUGUAUGUGUUUGUUUAUGAGAAGAUUGCUGCUAACGUUAGUUUAAACCUGCUAAUUGGUAACAUAUUCCUAGGUUCUAGUUGCUAUUGCCGUUGGAAACCCAAUUCAUUUUGAUCUUUUUGCCUUACAAUGUUGUAGUAUACAUAUUAUUUUAGACCUUUUGUUACUUUAUUCGAUAUGAAGAAUCAAAGCAGCGCAUAUAAAAGUGAUUUUAAC